AUCACCGAGCCGGGGUGUCCGCGACGGUCGGACCGAGAUCAAACCCGUAGAACCUGCCUGGAUCAUGCCAGCGAAGGAGCGAGGCGUGAGUUCAA
rnacentral:ncRNA from 1 species